rnacentral:rRNA from 1 species
AGAGUUUGAUCAUGGCUCAGGAUGAACGCUAGCGGGAGGCCUAACACAUGCAAGCCGAGCGGUAUUGUUUCUUCGGAAACGAGAGAGCGGCGCACGGGUGCGGAACACGUGUGCAACCUGCCUUUAUCUGGGGGAUAGCCUUUCGAAAGGAAGAUUAAUACCCCAUAAUAUUUUGGAUGGCAUCAUUUAAAAUUGAAAACUCCGGUGGAUAGAGAUGGGCACGCGCAAGAUUAGAUAGUUGGUAGGGUAACGGCCUACCAAGUCAGUGAUCUUUAGGGGGCCUGAGAGGGUGAUCCCCCACACUGGUACUGAGACACGGACCAGACUUCUACGGGAGGCAGCAGUGAGGAAUAUUGGACAAUGGGUGAGAGCCUGAUCCAGCCAUCCCGCGUGAAGGACGACGGCCCUAUGGGUUGUAAACUUCUUUUGUACAGGGAUAAACCUAUUUACGUGUAAAUAGCUGAAGGUACUGUACGAAUAAGCACCGGCUAACUCCGUGCCAGCAGCCGCGGUAAUACGGAGGGUGCAAGCGUUAUCCGGAUUUAUUGGGUUUAAAGGGUCCGUAGGCGGAUCCGUAAGUCAGUGGUGAAAUCUCAUAGCUUAACUAUGAAACUGCCAUUGCUACUGCGGGUCUUGAGUAAGGUAGAAGUAGCUGGAAUAAGUAGUGUAGCGGUGAAAUGCAUAGAUAUUACUUAGAACACCAAUUGCGAAGGCAGGUUACUAUGUCUUAACUGACGCUGAUGGACGAAAGCGUGGGGAGCGAACAGGAUUAGAUACCCUGGUAGUCCACGCCGUAAACGAUGCUAACUCGUUUUUGGGCUUUCGGGUUCAGAGACUAAGCGAAAGUGAUAAGUUAGCCACCUGGGGAGUACGAACGCAAGUUUGAAACUCAAAGGAAUUGACGGGGGCCCGCACAAGCGGUGGAUUAUGUGGUUUAAUUCGAUGAUACGCGAGGAACCUUACCAAGACUUAAAUGGGAAUUGAUCGGUUUAGAAAUAGGCCUUCCUUCGGGCAAUUUUCAAGGUGCUGCAUGGUUGUCGUCAGCUCGUGCCGUGAGGUGUUAGGUUAAGUCCUGCAACGAGCGCAACGCCUGUCACUAGUUGCCAUCAUUAAGUUGGGGACUCUAGUGAGACUGCCUACGCAAGUAGAGAGGAAGGUGGGGAUGACGUCAAAUCAUCACGGCCCUUACGUCUUGGGCCACACACGUAAUACAAUGGCCGGUACAGAGGGCAGCUACACAGCGAUGUGAUGCAAAUCUCGAAAGCCGGUCUCAGUUCGGAUUGGAGUCUGCAACUCGACUCUAUGAAGCUGGAAUCGCUAGUAAUCGCGCAUCAGCCAUGGCGCGGUGAAUACGUUCCCGGGCCUUGUACACACCGCCCGUCAAGCCAUGGAAGUCUGGGGUACCUGAAGUCGGUGACCGUAACAGGAGCUGCCUAGGGUAAAACAGGUAACUAGGGCUAAGUCGUAACAAGGUAACCG